GUAGGUGGCAAGCGUUGUCCGGAAUUAUUGGGCGUAAAGCGCGCGCAGGCGGUUCUUUAAGUCUGAUGUGAAAGCCCACGGCUCAACCGUGGAGGGUCAUUGGAAACUGGAGAACUUGAGUACAGAAGAGGAAAGCGGAAUUCCACGUGUAGCGGUGAAAUGCGUAGAGAUGUGGAGGAACACCAGUGGCGAAGGCGGCUUUCUGGUCUGUAACUGACGCUGAGGCGCGAAAGCGUGGGGAGCAAACAGGAUUAGAUACCCUGGUAGUCCACGCGUAAACGAUGAGUGCUAAGUGUUAGGGGGUUUCCGCCCCCUUAGUGCUGCAGCUAACGCAUUAAGCACCCCCGCCUGGGGAUACGGCCGCAAGGCUG
rnacentral:rRNA from 1 species